UUGUGCAUUCUAUAUCUGCGAAGCCAAGCAAUCGUGCAAGUUACAGAGAAGUCCACUCUAUUCUUGCUCCUCACCCUAGGGUGAACUUGGCAAAUAUGGGAACAGAGUCAUUGUGGAGAUACUGCAGGCAUUUUAAACUUUUGAGCAGUAAUUCGAGUCCAUCCAGGGAACAAAUGGUAAAAGCCGUGCAGCGUCAUUUUGCUUUGCAGCUUAAAGUGGACGAGGUACCAGUAAUCAAAGAGUUGCUUCGCGGAGCCAAGAGGCCCAAGACUGUGGAAUGUUGAUCACCCACCACCUGCUGAGUUCCAACUCUGGACGAUGACUUGCGAUUGUAAUUAAUUAAUAUGAUAUACAUAUAUUAGCUCUAACCUUAGACCUUAGUUACUAAUUUCAAACUCCACAGAGAUUGGUAGGCGGGCUGGCUGGUCUGAGUCAGCCUUCAACACCAAAUCUGACCUUUGUAAUAUCGGGUUGAUUCCCUAGUUCAUAUGAUAUUGCCUAGUGUUUUAUAUCUAUCUACCCGGCUGCGUUCCUGUGGCGCCGCCAUUCUCUCUC